rnacentral:rRNA from 1 species
GAGUUUGAUCGUGGCUCAGGAUGAACGCUAGCGGCAGGCCUAACACAUGCAAGUCGAGGGGUAGAGGGUGCUUGCAUCCUUGAGACCGGCGCACGGGUGCGUAACGCGUAUGCAACCUGCCUUCCACAGGGGGAAUAGCCCAGAGAAAUUUGGAUUAAUGCCCCAUGGCACACCGAGACGGCAUCGUCUUGGUGUUAAAGUAACAACGGUGGAAGAUGGGCAUGCGUCCCAUUAGCUAGUUGGUAAGGUAACGGCUUACCAAGGCUAUGAUGGGUAGGGGUCCUGAGAGGGAGAUCCCCCACACUGGUACUGAGACACGGACCAGACUCCUACGGGAGGCAGCAGUGAGGAAUAUUGGUCAAUGGUCGCAAGACUGAACCAGCCAUGCCGCGUGCAGGAUGACGGUCCUAUGGAUUGUAAACUGCUUUUGUACGGGAAGAAACACUCCUACGUGUAGGGGCUUGACGGUACCGUAAGAAUAAGGAUCGGCUAACUCCGUGCCAGCAGCCGCCGUAAG